CGGUGAAGCAGAGCUUGCUCUGUGGAUCAGUGGCGAACGGGUGAGUAACACGUGAGCAAUCUGCCCCUGACUCUGGGAUAAGCGCUGGAAACGGCGUCUAAUACCGGAUACGAGCUGCGAUCGCAUGGUCAGUAGCUGGAAAGAAUUUCGGUCAGGGAUGAGCUCGCGGCCUAUCAGCUUGUUGGUGAGGUAAUGGCUCACCAAGGCGUCGACGGGUAGCCGGCCUGAGAGGGUGACCGGCCACACUGGGACUGAGACACGGCCCAGACUCCUACGGGAGGCAGCAGUGGGGAAUAUUGCACAAUGGGCGGAAGCCUGAUGCAGCAACGCCGCGUGAGGGAUGACGGCCUUCGGGUUGUAAACCUCUUUUAGCAGGGAAGAAGCGAAAGUGACGGUACCUGCAGAAAAAGCGCCGGCUAACUACGUGCCAGCAGCCGCGGUAAUACGUAGGGCGCAAGCGUUAUCCGGAAUUAUUGGGCGUAAAGAGCUCGUAGGCGGUCUGUCGCGUCUGCUGUGAAAACCCGAGGCUCAACCUCGGGCCUGCAGUGGGUACGGGCAGACUAGAGUGCGGUAGGGGAGAUUGGAAUUCCUGGUGUAGCGGUGGAAUGCGCAGAUAUCAGGAGGAACACCGAUGGCGAAGGCAGAUCUCUGGGCCGUAACUGACGCUGAGGAGCG
rnacentral:rRNA from 1 species